AGUCCUGUAUACACUUAUAGUUCUAAUAUGCGAGGGCAAGAGAUUUGCAGAUCAUCAGUAAUACGCCAUAUUAAGUGAUGGAGGCUAACUGCUGCAUAAUUGAUUCAAAUAGACCUUAAAAAUUGUCUGUAAAGUUUCAGGGCCACUAACUCAUUGUCUUAAAUAAAAGGCACGAUGUCAUACUUAUGUGAGGGGAUUUGGUAAUUGUCUGCAGAAAGUGGCUACUCACUCAUCUGUCAAACUUACAUGUAACUGCUAGCACAAAUACGAGACUUAUACAAGGAUAUGAAAAUGUUAUAGAAAGAGCCACCAUUAUCACUGGAUUUGCAUGAAUUCUCCGUGCCCUGCAAAAUCAUGGGAAUAUGGUAACCCAAAACACACCCAUGACUCUUACAUAGACCCUGACAGGGUGGGCAGCGACUUGUGUAAGCCUGGCCAGCACGCACCAGCUAUACGCAUUUGUUUCCGGUCAAUGGAGGAAAUCUAUGAUGUCUGUCAUUAAUGGAGCAAGUUUAUAGCCACCAGUGGGAUAGCGUGGGGCAGGGGGCACAGGCGUGGUUGUCCAGGGCUCAAAAUUCUUAGGGACAAACUUUCAAAAGAAAAAAAAAAGAAAGUAGUAAUAAUGCACUUUUAAAAAUAUGGCAGCCUUCUUUUCACACAGAAAAUCUCCCAAUGCUCAAACAUUCUACACAGUUUUUCAACAUGACAGGGCAAAUCAUUUUGAAAUCCAU